AAGGACAUGUAUGUCUAUCUGGAAUUAUGAGGUUCUAGGCUUGGCUGUGUGAAGAUCAAAGCAGAGGAAGCCACACAAUGCAGAGAAUCAACAGUGGAGCUAUGCCUAGUGAGAAGCAAAGAGACACUGGAUGGCCUGAGAGGGAAAGAGACUGAGAAAAGCUGUCAGCUUUUAGUUCCUGGUUCCAGUCCUUUGUGACGGCCAGCUUGAUUAGAGAGAAAAGGUCAUUUGGAAAAUAUAGCCAUUUUUGGAAGACUGAGCAGCCAAGGUUCUUAAGUAUAGGAGAUUGGGACAAAACAAAAAAAAGGUUUAUAACAGUUCACUACUUCAUCUACAUCCUCAAGCCAACACCUAUGAAAAAGAUAAUGGUGUCCGAUGACAGGCCUCUGCUAACAGUGUAAGGCUAUCUGUGAACUCCUCAGUCUACACAUAUCUUCCUCAGCCUCUGGGAUUCCAUUUCCACCCAAGAAUUAAAUUGAUAGAAAGAAAAACAGCAAAAUAUACACAUAUUUUUCCACUAUUAAAUCCAAUAAUGAUGACUUAAUUUCAGCAAAACAUCAUCAAUCGCAUUAAAUUAAUGUUGCUGUUAA
ensembl:lncRNA DIAPH3-AS2 DIAPH3 antisense RNA 2